UAGCUUUCUGUCUGAUGCAAUUUCAAGCUGCAGCUGACCCCUGUCUUCACUCUCCUCCUGCUGUUCAAUGUAGCUGUCCCAUGUAUUGCCUGCCCUUGGGGCUUAUCAAAGGGGAUCAACCAAUUCAUCAUCAAUAAUUUAACAGUGGCAUACUACCAUAGCAUGAGUUAACAAAGGGGAAUGACGGGCAGAGCAGUGUCUUGAUGCUAUUGCGAUGGGUGCUCUUGCUAAAGGAGAAAUUUUAUUAGGAAGAGAAGAGAGGAGUGAAUACAGACCAUGUGGAAUUGCCAUGAUGAAGAUGGAUGGAGGGAAGAGAAAAGCAUCAAAGAACAGCGUUCAUGAUAUUAGUGAUGAUGAUGAUAACUUAUUGAGCACUUUCUACAAAAAUCAUAGCUGACACUAUUGAACACUUAGUGUCAGAUAUUAUGUAAUAAACUUUACAUACUAAUGAGGUUAAACAUCUUUU
rnacentral:lncRNA from 1 species